rnacentral:rRNA from 1 species
CAGGACGAACGCUGGCGGCGUGCCUAACACAUGCAAGUCGAGCGAGGAGAUUCCUUCGGGAUGAUCCUAGCGGCGGACGGGUGAGUAACACGUGGGCAACCUGCCUCAUAGAGAGGAAUAGCCUUCCGAAAGGGAGAUUAAUACCUCAUAACAUUGCAGUUUCGCAUGAAACAGCAAUUAAAGGAGCAAUCCGCUAUGAGAUGGGCCCGCGGCGCAUUAGCUAGUUGGUGAGGUAACGGCUCACCAAGGCGACGAUGCGUAGCCGACCUGAGAGGGUGAUCGGCCACAUUGGGACUGAGACACGGCCCAGACUCCUACGGGAGGCAGCAGUGGGGAAUAUUGCACAAUGGGGGAAACCCUGAUGCAGCAACGCCGCGUGAGUGAUGACGGCCUUCGGGUUGUAAAGCUCUGUCUUCAGGGACGAUAAUGACGGUACCUGAGGAGGAAGCCACGGCUAACUACGUGCCAGCCGCCGC